GCUGGACAAGUGAAGGAGAUCCUCAUUUCAAACAAGAGCAUUAGUUGGCACAUUUCCCCACCUCAGUUACCUUUUCUUCUAAAGGGAGGCACAGUAACAGGGGAACGACAAUUAAGGAGUUAUGCAAACCAAAUUAUGAUCUCCCUAGUUGAGUGGUCGGGCGGUCUGUUCAAGGCUUGACGCUUCUGCUGAGGCGCCGGGGCCGGACGCUAUUGCUGAGGCGCCGGACGCUAUUGCUGAGGCGCCGGGGCCGGACGCUUCUGCUGAGGCGCCGGACGCUUCUGCUGAGGCGCCGGGGCCGGACGCUUCUGCUGAGGCGCCGGGGCCGGACGCUUCUGCUGAGGCGCUGGGGCCGGACUUCACACUUGACGGGGCAUUGUGGCCAGUAGAUUCUGCUGGCGUGGCAUUGUGGCCAGUAGCUUCUGCUGACGUGGCAUUGUGGCCAGUAGCUUCUGCUGACGUGGCAUUGUGGCCAGUAGCUUUAGCAUUUGG
rnacentral:lncRNA from 1 species